CUUUCUUUGCUGGCGACCGGCGCACGGGUGAGUACACGUAUCCAACCUGCCUUUACUCGGGGAUAGCCUUUCGAAAGAAAGAUUAAUACCCGAUAGCAUAAUGAUUCCGCAUGGUUUCAUUAUUAAAGGAUUCCGGUAAAGGAUGGGGAUGCGCUCCACUAGGUUGUUGGUGAGGUAACGGCCCACCAAGCCUUCGAUGGAUAGGGGUUCUGAGAGGAAGGUCCCCCACAUUGGAACUGAGACACGGUCCAA
rnacentral:rRNA from 1 species